rnacentral:rRNA from 1 species
GUGCCAGCCGCCGCGGUAAUACCGGCAGCUCGAGUGAUGACCGAUUUUAUUGGGCCUAAAGCGUCCGUAGCUGGCCGCGCAAGUCUGUCGGGAAAUCCACCCGCUUAACGGGUGGGCGUCCGGCGGAAACUGUGCGGCUUGGGACAGGAAGGCUCGAGGGGUACGUUCGGGGUAGGAGUGAAAUCCCGUAAUCCUGGACGGACCGCCGAUGGCGAAAGCACGUCGCGAGGACGGAUCCGACAGUGAGGGACGAAAGCCAGGGUCUCGAACCGGAUUAGAAACCCCUGUAGUCC